rnacentral:rRNA from 1 species
UGCUGACGACCGGCGCACGGGUGCGUAACGCGUAUAGAACCUACCUUUUACAGGAGAAUAGCCCAGAGAAAUUUGGAUUAAUGCUCCAUAGUAUUAUUGAAUGGCAUCAUUUAAUAAUUAAAGAUUUAUCGGUAAGAGAUGGCUAUGCGUUCUAUUAGUUAGUUGGUAAGGUAACGGCUUACCAAGGCAUCGAUAGAUAGGGGUCCUGAGAGGGAGAUCCCCCACACUGGUACUGAGACACGGACCAGACUCCUACGGGAGGCAGCAGUGAGGAAUAUUGGACAAUGGGCGGGAGCCUGAUCCAGCCAUGCCGCGUGCAGGAAGACUGCCCUAUGGGUUGUAAACUGCUUUUGUAUAGGAAGAAACGUAGCUACGAGUAGCUAUUUGACGGUACUAUAAGAAUAAGGAUCGGCUAACUCCGUGCCAGCAGCCGCGGUAAUACGGAGGAUCCAAGCGUUAUCCGGAAUCAUUGGGUUUAAAGGGUCCGUAGGUUGGUCUAUAAGUCAGUGGUGAAAGUUUGCGGCUUAACCGUAAAAUUGCCAUUGAUACUGUAGGUCUUGAAUACUUGUGAAGUGGUUAGAAUAAGUAGUGUAGCGGUGAAAUGCAUAGAUAUUACUUAGAAUACCGAUUGCGAAGGCAGAUCACUAACAGGUUAUUGACACUGAUGGACGAAAGCGUGGGUAGCGAACAGGAUUAGAUACCCUGGUAGUCCACGCCGUAAACGAUGGAUACUAGUUGUUUGGCAUUAGCUGAGUGACUAAGCGAAAGUGAUAAGUAUCCCACCUGGGGAGUACGUUCGCAAGAAUGAAACUCAAAGGAAUUGACGGGGGCCCGCACAAGCGGUGGAGCAUGUGGUUUAAUUCGAUGAUACGCGAGGAACCUUACCAGGGCUUAAAUGUAGUCUGACAGGACCAGAGAUGGUU